rnacentral:misc_RNA from 1 species
AACGCACAUUGCGCCUUUUGGUAUUCCGAGAGGCACGCCUGUCUGAGCGUCAGCAAAACCCUUCGGCGGUCAAUUUUUAUUGCCACCGGUGCUGGCGGCGGGCGGCACCUCCCCCAUUGCGCGGGGGGGGAGCCCCCCCGCUUAAACCUGACGGCGGGGCAGCUGGUUCAGCCGCGACAAUAGUAGUGAUAUUUUUUGUCCGAGGCUUUACCCAACUUGCCCCCAUUCAAAUAGUAAAGGCUUUCACAGGCCUUUCGACUUUUUGACCUCAGAUCAGACGAGGAUACCCGCUGAACUUAA